GAACUUUUAGAAACAUUAAUUCAAAAACAGAAAAUUAUUAGUGCAUUGGACGAAGAUAUUAUGAAUUCUUUAAAGGAGGAGGACAUCGAGGAAGAAAUUCUAAAUGCAGAUGAGUACAAAUUCUUUUUGAACACCAAAAUACGACAUUUACGGAAAACAUUCGUAAACAAAUUAUGUACUGAUAAUGAUAUCCCACCGCAUGAUCACGCAUUACCUUCUCACACUUUUGAAAACAUUAAUCAACACAGUUCUGUUCCGUACACAACACAAAUGUAUCCCGUUCAGCAACCUAGCAACCAAAAUCACCAUUUGCCG
rnacentral:lncRNA from 1 species